rnacentral:tRNA from 1 species
GCGAAAGUAGCUCAGCGGCCAAAGCACUCGGACAAUCCGAGAGAACGCGGGUUCGAAUCCCGCCUUUCGCCCCA